rnacentral:tRNA from 1 species
UGGCUGAGUGGUUUAGCACCUGGCUUCUGAACCUGGAGUCCUGAGUUCAAAUCUCGG